AUACUUACCUGGCACAGGAGAUACCGUGAUCACGAAGGCGGUUCUCCUAAGGCGAGGCUCAUCAUUGCACUCCGGUGUCGCUGACCCUUGCGAUUAACCCAAAUGUGGUUAACUCGAGUGCGCAAUUUUUGUAAGCGGGGACUCCGUUCGCGCUAUCCCCUU
rnacentral:snRNA from 1 species